rnacentral:rRNA from 1 species
GGCCCUAGCGUCAGCACAGGAGCCAGUUGUGACAUACCUACGAGCUGUUGCUUCGGCGGGUAGGCCGUCCCCUGAAAAGGACGCCUCCCGGCCCGGACCGGACCCCCCGCGGGACCGGACCCGGCGCCCGCCGGAGGAUAACCAAACUCUAUUGUAACGACGUUUCUUCUGAGUGGCAUAAGCAAAAUAAUCAAAACUUUUAACAACGGAUCUCUUGGUUCUGGCAUCGAUGAAGAACGCAGCGAAAUGCGAUAAGUAAUGUGAAUUGCAGAAUUCAGUGAAUCAUCGAAUCUUUGAACGCACAUUGCGCCCGCCAGCAUUCUGGCGGGCAUGCCUGUUCGAGCGUCAUUUCAACCCUCAAGCUCUGCUUGGUGUUGGGGCUCUACGGUCGACGUAGGCCCUCAAAGGUAGUGGCGGACCCUCCCGGAGCCUCCUUUGCGUAGUAACAUUUCGUCUCGCACUGGGAUCCGGAGGGACUCUUGCCGUAAAACCCCCCAAUUUUCCAAAGGUUGACCUCGGAUCAGGUAGGAAUACCCGCUGAACUUAAGCAUAUCAAUAAGCGGAGGAUUU